rnacentral:rRNA from 1 species
CCUACGGGGAGCUGCAGUGGGGAAUAUUGGACAAUGGGCGAAAGCCUGAUCCAGCCAUGCCGCGUGUGUGAAGAAGGCCUUCGGGUUGUAAAGCACUUUCAGUGGGGAAGAAAGCCUUGGGGCUAAUACCCUCGAGGAAGGACAUCACCCACAGAAGAAGCACCGGCUAACUCCGUGCCAGCAGCCGCGGUAAUACGGAGGGUGCGAGCGUUAAUCGGAAUUACUGGGCGUAAAGCGCGCGUAGGCGGUCUGAUAAGCCGGUUGUGAAAGCCCCGGGCUCAACCUGGGAACGGCAUCCGGAACUGUCAGGCUAGAGUGCAGGAGAGGAAGGUAGAAUUCCCGGUGUAGCGGUGAAAUGCGUAGAGAUCGGGAGGAAUACCAGUGGCGAAGGCGGCCUUCUGGACUGACACUGACGCUGAGGUGCGAAAGCGUGGGUAGCAAACAGGAUUAGAUACCCCAGUCGUC